AAUAAUUUAUAAUCAACGUCUAUUGAUUUAAGAAACCUUAAAAACCACUUCACUUAAGGUACUACUGACAAUAAAUACCCCUCACAAAACAUAAUAAAUUUUGAUGCAAAACUGGCCUAUCCCUAGUUUCACUCAUAGAUAAACAGAUGACUUUGUCUGGUAACCCAUCGAACUCGGCAAAGAGUUCGACGUGCAAUCUAACCCAUGCAUCAGCCCGCCGAAUUUCUCGUUGGAUCUUCUCAGCGAGUCGCGAUUCCAAGGCGAUAGUAGAUUCAUUCCCGAAGCAGCUGCCCUUGAGUUGUUAGGUAACCUUUGGAGGCGCCCGGGCAGGUUUUAGCAAAUCCCACCCCUCUUGGCUGAGCCUUUGCUCGCCCACCUGUCCUGGUGAAACUGGAAAGGCCUCGGGGCCACCAGUAAUCCGUCAUUCAUAAAAAAAAUAUGACUUUUAAAAAAAUCUUUCUGCGCAUAUUAUUUUUACCUACGAAGCAGUUGUAAAAGUUAAUUCAAACCCCAUUAUCUCCAUACUAACUCAGGUAGGCUAUGGCCACUUUUGCGCUGACGGCCUCAUAUUGAUCUGUCUCUUAGACAAGAGGCAGACGGUAUUCUGGGAACACACGUUAUUCCUGGUAACGGAUUCCUCUUACAAUGAACUUUCACAAUGGAGCUACAGUCUACAAAUUCCAAUUGUGAAUAAUAAACAAAGAG